GACGAACGCUGGCGGCGUGCCUAAUACAUGCAAGUCGAACGCAGUGGGGACGGGGGAGUAACACGUGGGUAACCUCCCAUCAGAGGGGAUAACACUUGGAAACAGGUGCUAACCCGAUACUGAUGGAUGAAACCGCGGUGCAUUUGCUAGUUGGUGAGGUAACGGCUCACCAAGGCCACGAUGCAUUGCGGGCCGGAGAGGGUGACCGGCCAACUGGGAACUGAGAAACGGCCCGGACCCCUACGGGGGGAGGCGGGGGGAAAUCUUCGGCAAUGGACGAAAGCCGGACCGGGCAACGCCGCGUGGGUGAAGAAGGUUUCCGGAUCGUAAACCUCUGUUAUUAGGGAAGCGGUAUCGAACCAGAAAGCCACGGCUAACUACGUGCCAGCAGCCGCGGUAAUAC
rnacentral:rRNA from 1 species